CCAGAGUGGUAAUAGCAUGGGAAAGGAAAUACGUAGAAGGGUAACACUUGGUAACAGGAGUUACUACAGUCUUCAAAAACUCAUCCGGUCAAAAACACUCAACCGCAACCUUAAGUGCGAAUUGUACAGAUCGCUGAUUCGACCAGUUGUAGCAUAUGGAUCGGCAGCUUGGUGCAUGACACAA